rnacentral:rRNA from 1 species
CGUAGGUAAUCUACCCCAGAGUCUGGAAUAACCUGCCGAAAGGCGGGCUAAUACUGGAUAGAGCGACGGAAUCCGUAAUAGGGUUUUUCGGGAAAGGGAGGAAGUAAUUCCCUUUGCUCUGGGAUGAGCCUGCGUCUCAUUAGCUAGUUGGUGAGGUAACGGCUCACCAAGGCUAUGAUGGGUAGCUGGUCUGAGAGGAUGAUCAGCCACACUGGAACUGAAACACGGUCCAGACUCCUACGGGAGGCAGCAGUGGGGAAUCUUGCGCAAUGGACGAAAGUCUGACGCAGCCACGCCGCGUGAGUGAAGAAGGCCUUCGGGUUGUAAAGCUCUGUCGAGCGGGACGAAAAGUUUUCAGGUGAAUAGCCUGGAGAUGUGACGGUACCGCUAAAGGAAGCACCGGCUAACUCCGUGCCAGCAGCCGCGGCAAUACGGAGGGUGCAAGCGUUGCUCGGAAUUAUUGGGCGUAAAGGGUAGGUAGGUGGUCUCAUUUGUCUGGGGUGAAAGCCUUGAGCUUAACUCAAGAAGUGCCCCAGAAACGGUGAGACUGGAGUCCUGGAGAGGGUCGUGGAAUUCCCGGUGUAGCGGUGAAAUGCGUAGAGAUCGGGAGGAACACCAGAGGCGAAAGCGGCGACCUGGACAGGUACUGACACUCAACUACGAAAGCGUGGGGAGCAAACAGGAUUAGAUACCCUGGUAGUCCACGCUGUAAACGAUGGGUACUAGGUUUGGUGGGUCUUGACCCCUGCUGAACCGGCGCUAACGCACUAAGUACCCCGCCUGGGAAGUACGGUCGCAAGACU